rnacentral:sRNA from 1 species
UACAACUUGUUUCGAUGACCUAUCUAAUG